rnacentral:lncRNA from 1 species
ACAAAGAAGCAUGGGAAUUUUAUAUCAAAAAGAUCUAAAGAAUUACUAGCGAACACAGGUAAAAUUAAGAACCAAAAUGUAUGAAAUUAAAAAUCAAAAUGUCUGCAAUAACCACAUCUGCCACAUAAUCAUUCAAAAUAUGAUCAUCUUACUCAUCUAUUACACCCUCUAUUCUUAUUCAGAAGUAUUAAAAAGCAGUAAUGGCUCUAUAAAUUUAGUGUAAACAAAACAGUCAUGAGGUCUUAAAAAUGAUCUGCCUUGAGGUAAAACUGAUGCUAGUGAAGCGGGUUUCUGCUCACCCUCGUGGACCACCUGAGAUCACCAAGGUUUUUAGGCAGCAACCAUUUGAUUUUCUGGGGGGGGCUAUGGUUUUUUUUGGAAAAAAAAGUUUUGUUUCCAGGUUUUGGUGAAAAAAAAUAAUUUGUUUUGGACCUGAGUAAAAAAAAUUGUUUGUUUCACCCUCAGCUGCACUAUGUUAAUGCUAAAAUUGAAAGAAAAAAAUUGUCUUCGGUUUUCGCUAAAAAAUAGAUUGUUCUUCGCCGAAGGCGAAAAAAAAAGUUUGCACAGAAAAAAAAACCAUAGCCCCCCCCAGAAAAUCAAAUGGUUGCUGCCUUAGUAUGGGUUUGUUGCUUAGUAUUUUUUGUAGGCUAUCAUUGUUUUUCUUAUUUUGCCUUCGUUUUGUCGUUCUCUCUUUGUCUUGUUAGUUAUGAUUGUCCCUUUCGUAACUGCUGCCUCUUUUUUAGUGUAUUUUUGUUAUUAUUUAUGUAGUAAGUUAUACAUGAGAUACAUUUUUUUGCAUAUUUUUGUGUUGUUAUUUUUGUUAUGGAGAUUGUUUUCCCAACAUUACCAAGUUUUGCAUGCAAAUAUUUUGUGCAUAAUAAUUAAGUUUUGAUGACUAUGAUUGAUAACAAAUUGCUUGUUUCUGACUAUCUGUGUGGUCAGAAGCACUAUAGAAGGUGACCCUUUUUUAGCUCACCUGGCCGAAAGGCCAAGUGACCUUUUCU